GACGAACCGAGCGAACGUUGUUCGAAAUCACUGGGCUUAAAGGGCGCGUAGGCGGGCUGUCAAGUCUGGGGUGAAAUCCCGCGGCUCAACCGUGGAACUGCCUCAGAUACUGACGGUCUCGAGGGAGGUAGGGGCGAGCGGAACUGAUGGUGGAGCGGUGAAAUGCGUUGAUAUCAUCAGGAACUCCGGUGGCGAAGGCGGCUCGCUGGACCUCUUCUGACGCUGAGGCGCGAAAGCCAGGGGAGCAAACGGG
rnacentral:rRNA from 1 species